AAUGGAAAUUACUCACACUAUGAAAGGUAGAAGGUAUAUUGAGAUUAUAUUUGCAGCAAUCCGAAAUUUCAUAAAAAGGAAAAACUUCUACUAGCCUCUCUCUUCCCGAUGAAUCUGCACUGAGGAAAGCCCAGCUGAGGACACAGCAAGGAGGCAGCCAUCUGCAAGCCCGAAAGAGUCCUCACCAGAAAUUGAGCCCUGUUGGACCUUGACCUUGGACUUCCAUCUUUCAGAACUAAGAAUUUUAACAUUGGAAAAUGGAGAGAGGACAGAGAAGACAGUAGAAACCCC